GUCGAGCGAACUGAUUAGAAGCUUGCUUCUAUGACGUUAGCGGCGGACGGGUGAGUAACACGUGGGCAACCUGCCUGUAAGACUGGGAUAACUUCGGGAAACCGAAGCUAAUACCGGAUAGGAUCUUCUCCUUCAUGGGAGAUGAUUGAAAGAUGGUUUCGGCUAUCACUUACAGAUGGGCCCGCGGUGCAUUAGCUAGUUGGUGAGGUAACGGCUCACCAAGGCAACGAUGCAUAGCCGACCUGAGAGGGUGAUCGGCCACACUGGGACUGAGACACGGCCCAGACUCCUACGGGAGGCAGCAGUAGGGAAUCUUCCGCAAUGGACGAAAGUCUGACGGAGCAACGCCGCGUGAGUGAUGAAGGCUUUCGGGUCGUAAAACUCUGUUGUUAGGGAAGAACAAGUACAAGAGUAACUGCUUGUACCUUGACGGUACCUAACCAGAAAGCCACGGCUAACUACGUGCCAGCAGCCGCGGUAAUACGUAGGUGGCAAGCGUUAUCCGGAAUUAUUGGGCGUAAAGCGCGCGCAGGCGGUUUCUUAAGUCUGAUGUGAAAGCCCACGGCUCAACCGUGGAGGGUCAUUGGAAACUGGGGAACUUGAGUGCAGAAGAGAAAAGCGGAAUUCCACGUGUAGCGGUGAAAUGCGUAGAGAUGUGGAGGAACACUAGUGGCGAAGGCGGC
rnacentral:rRNA from 2 species